rnacentral:piRNA from 1 species
UUUGCUGUGGCCUCCUCUUUGUGUAUAUCC